UUGAUGCAAACAUUUAUUCACGUUUGCCAGUUUAUUGACUCGCGGUUGUUCUUUAAUUUAAUUAAUUUAAAAUUUUAGGACAAUUUAUUGUGGCUGUAUCAUUGCUAGACCGUGGUGAAUCAUACAAAACACUGGUUCGACUCGCUGCUUAUCGAAAGACGUUCAAAGGUCUACAAGAAUUGACAAUAAUUUUAUCUGGUUGUGGUUUAUAUACUGCUGAAGCUGCUUUCUGGCUUCGGAUUAUCACCUCUUCCCAUAUGGGUACACCGCAUGAUCAAGGAAAGCGCCAAUGAAGCAUGAGCGUGGUCACAAGAAAAUAAAAUGGCUGAUUUGCCUCAUCGCAAUAAAGCAACCAAAAUUCUACUAGCGUACGUAAAUAUAUAGCAAACAAGCUGCUAAGUCUCAACGCUUUUAUACCGCAAUGGCUCUAUAAUGACUACAAGUUGGCGAAUUGUCCAGAGCUAUUGUAUUUGUUCGUCUAACAUAAUCCCUUAAUUGAACUGCCGAAUUACCACAUGCACUGUUGGAAGCUAGAAGCGAAUACUCAGUUUCAGAUAUCAAGUAUAAGCAGGAGCUCACAAAUUUAGAGCACGAUACCACACAGCGCACAGCAAAUAAAAUAUCCAAAUAAAUGAAAUAACAUUGAUAUAAAUUUAAUUAAAUUAAAUACUUUAUUUUUAAUAA